rnacentral:rRNA from 1 species
AGAGCGAACGUUGGCGGCGCGCUUAACACAUGCAAGUCGCACGAGAAAAGGGGCAACCCUGAGUAAAGUGGCGCACGGGUGCGUAACACGUGGGCAAUCUGCCCUCAGGCGGGGAUAACUAUCCGAAGGGAUAGCUAAUACCGCGUAUGACCACAGUCGCCUCGGCGACAGAGGUAAAAGCUGGCCUCUACUUGUAAGCUAGCACCUGAGGAGGAGCCCGCGGCCCAUCAGCUAGUUGGUGAGGUAACGGCUCACCAAGGCUAAGACGGGUAGCUGGUCUGAGAGGAUGAUCAGCCACACGUGGCAC